UAGUGGCGAACGGGUGCGUAACACGUGGGCAAUCUGCCUUAAAGUGGGGGAUAGCUCGGCGAAAGCCGAAUUAAUACCGCAUGUGAUCAGGGGAGACAUCUUCCCGAAAUCAAAAGUGGCGCAAGCUACUGCUUUUUGAGGAGCCCGCGGCCUAUCAGCUAGUUGGUGAGGUAACGGCUCACCAAGGCUUUGACGGGUAGCUGGUCUGAGAGGACGACCAGUCACACUGGAACUGAGACACGGUCCAGACACCUACGGGUGGCAGCAGUCGAGAAUUUUUCUCAAUGGGGGAAACCCUGAAGGAGCGACGCCGCGUGGAGGAUGAAGGUCUUCGGGUUGUAAACUCCUGUCAUUUGGGAACAAGUGCCGGUACGUAACUGCUACCGGCUUGAUAGUACCAGAAGAGGAAGGGACGGCUAACUCUGUGCCAGCAGCCGCGGUAAUACAGAGGUCUCAAGCGUUGUUCGGAUUCAUUGGGCGUAAAGGGUGUGUAGGUGGCGCCGUAAGUCGGGUGUGAAAUUUCGGAGCUUAACUCCGAAACUGCAUUCGAUACUGCGGUGCUUGAGGACUGGAGAGGAGACUGGAAUUCAUGGUGUAGCAGUGAAAUGCGUAGAGAUCAUGAGGAAGACCAGUGGCGAAGGCGGGUCUCUGGACAGUUCC
rnacentral:rRNA from 1 species